GGUUAAGCGACUAAGCGUACACGGUGGAUGCCCUGGCAGUCAGAGGCGAUGAAGGGCGUGCUAAUCUGCGAUAAGCGCCGGUAAGGUGAUAUGAACCGUUAUAACCGGCGAUACCCGAAUGGGGAAACCCAGUGUGAUUCGUCACACUAUCAUUAACUGAAUCCAUAGGUUAAUGAGGCGAACCGGGGGAACUGAAACAUCUAAGUACCCCGAGGAAAAGAAAUCAACCGAGAUUCCCCCAGUAGCGGCGAGCGAACGGGGAGGAGCCCAGAGCCUGAAUCAGCAUGUGUGUUAGUGGAAGCGUCUGGAAAGGCGCGCGAUACAGGGUGACAGCCCCGUACACAAAAGCGCAUGUGCUGUGAGCUCGAUGAGUAGGGCGGGACACGUGGUAUCCUGUCUGAAUAUGGGGGGACCAUCCUCCAAGGCUAAAUACUCCUGACUGACCGAUAGUGAACCAGUACCGUGAGGGAAAGGCGAAAAGAACCCCGGCGAGGGGAGUGAAAAAGAACCUGAAACCGUGUACGUACAAGCAGUGGGAGCCCCACCACUAAGCCAGUGGUGAACUCCACAUACGCAUCCUUUGCUGAGGAUACGGUUAACGGAGCGAAAGCGACGUUCAACCGCAAAAGAAGCAGAGGGGGCUUAGUGGUGGGGUGACUGCGUACCUUUUGUAUAAUGGGUCAGCGACUUAUAUUCUGUAGCAAGGUUAACCGAAUAGGGGAGCCGGAGGGAAACCGAGUCUUAAUUGGGCGUUAAGUUGCAGGGUAUAGACCCGAAACCCGGUGAUCUAGCCAUGGGCAGGUUGAAGGUUGGGUAACACUAACUGGAGGACCGAACCGACUAAUGUUGAAAAAUUAGCGGAUGACCUGUGGCUGGGGGUGAAAGGCCAAUCAAACCGGGAGAUAGCUGGUUCUCCCCGAAAGCUAUUUAGGUAGCGCCUCGUGAAUUCAUCUCCGGGGGUAGAGCACUGUUUCGGCUAGGGGGCCAUCCCGGCUUACCAACCCGAUGCAAACUGCGAAUACCGGAGAAUGUUAUCACGGGAGACACACGGCGGGUGCUAACGUCCGUCGUGAAGAGGGAAACAACCCAGACCGCCAGCUAAGGUCCCAAAGUCAUGGUUAAGUGGGAAACGAUGUGGGAAGGCCCAGACAGCCAGGAUGUUGGCUUAGAAGCAGCCAUCAUUUAAAGAAAGCGUAAUAGCUCACUGGUCGAGUCGGCCUGCGCGGAAGAUGUAACGGGGCUAAACCAUGCACCGAAGCUGCGGCAGCGACACUCAGGUGUUGUUGGGUAGGGGAGCGUUCUGUAAGCCUGUGAAGGUGGCCUGUGAGGGUUGCUGGAGGUAUCAGAAGUGCGAAUGCUGACAUAAGUAACGAUAAAGCGGGUGAAAAGCCCGCUCGCCGGAAGACCAAGGGUUCCUGUCCAACGUUAAUCGGGGCAGGGUGAGUCGACCCCUAAGGCGAGGCCGAAAGGCGUAGUCGAUGGGAAACGGGUUAAUAUUCCCGUACUUGGUGUUACUGCGAAGGGGGGACGGAGAAGGCUAUGUUGGCCGGGCGACGGUUGUCCCGGUUUAAGCGUGUAGGUGUGUGUUCCAGGUAAAUCCGGUUCACUUUAACACUGAGGCGUGAUGACGAGGCACUACGGUGCUGAAGCAACAAAUGCCCUGCUUCCAGGAAAAGCCUCUAAGCAUCAGGUAACAUCAAAUCGUACCCCAAACCGACACAGGUGGUCAGGUAGAGAAUACCAAGGCGCUUGAGAGAACUCGGGUGAAGGAACUAGGCAAAAUGGUGCCGUAACUUCGGGAGAAGGCACGCUGACACGUAGGUGAAGUGAUUUACUCAUGGAGCUGAAGUCAGUCGAAGAUACCAGCUGGCUGCAACUGUUUAUUAAAAACACAGCACUGUGCAAACACGAAAGUGGACGUAUACGGUGUGACGCCUGCCCGGUGCCGGAAGGUUAAUUGAUGGGGUCAGCGCAAGCGAAGCUCCUGAUCGAAGCCCCGGUAAACGGCGGCCGUAACUAUAACGGUCCUAAGGUAGCGAAAUUCCUUGUCGGGUAAGUUCCGACCUGCACGAAUGGCGUAAUGAUGGCCAGGCUGUCUCCACCCGAGACUCAGUGAAAUUGAACUCGCUGUGAAGAUGCAGUGUACCCGCGGCAAGACGGAAAGACCCCGUGAACCUUUACUAUAGCUUGACACUGAACAUUGAGCCUUGAUGUGUAGGAUAGGUGGGAGGCUUUGAAGUGUGGACGCCAGUCUGCAUGGAGCCGACCUUGAAAUACCACCCUUUAAUGUUUGAUGUUCUAACGUGGACCCGUGAUCCGGGUUGCGGACAGUGUCUGGUGGGUAGUUUGACUGGGGCGGUCUCCUCCUAAAGAGUAACGGAGGAGCACGAAGGUUGGCUAAUCCUGGUCGGACAUCAGGAGGUUAGUGCAAUGGCAUAAGCCAGCUUGACUGCGAGCGUGACGGCGCGAGCAGGUGCGAAAGCAGGUCAUAGUGAUCCGGUGGUUCUGAAUGGAAGGGCCAUCGCUCAACGGAUAAAAGGUACUCCGGGGAUAACAGGCUGAUACCGCCCAAGAGUUCAUAUCGACGGCGGUGUUUGGCACCUCGAUGUCGGCUCAUCACAUCCUGGGGCUGAAGUAGGUCCCAAGGGUAUGGCUGUUCGCCAUUUAAAGUGGUACGCGAGCUGGGUUUAGAACGUCGUGAGACAGUUCGGUCCCUAUCUGCCGUGGGCGCUGGAGAACUGAGGGGGGCUGCUCCUAGUACGAGAGGACCGGAGUGGACGCAUCACUGGUGUUCGGGUUGUCAUGCCAAUGGCACUGCCCGGUAGCUAAAUGCGGAAGAGAUAAGUGCUGAAAGCAUCUAAGCACGAAACUUGCCCCGAGAUGAGUUCUCCCUGAGACUUAGAGUCUCCUGAAGGAACGUUGAAGACGACGACGUUGAUAGGCCGGGUGUGUAAGCGCAGCGAUGCGUUGAGCUAACCGGUACUAAUGAACCGUGAGGCUUAACCUU
rnacentral:rRNA from 1 species